UACGGGGGGAGCAAGCGUUGUUCGGAUUUACUGGGCGUAAAGGGCGCGUAGGCGGCCACCGCAAGUCAGUUGUGAAAUCUCUGGGCUUAACCCAGAAAGGUCAACUGAUACUGCGGGGCUAGAGUGUGGCAGAGGGAGGUGGAAUUCCACGUGUAGCGGUGAAAUGCGUAGAGAUGUGGAGGAACACCGAUGGCGAAGGCAGCCUCCUGGGCCAACACUGACGCUCAUGCACGAAAGCGUGGGGAGCAAACAGG
rnacentral:rRNA from 1 species